CCCGAAUGGCCGGAAGUGGGGAGGGCGUGUGGGGUUUGUGGUUGUCUGUGUGCUCCCGCGUCGCUGAGUUUUUGCGGCCCUCUGCUGGGGGUGCGGGCUAGGAGGGGGGAGUUUUCUGAGAGAGCAGAGCUGAGUAACGAGGGGAGCUCGUAGGAGUUGUGAAAGUGCCUCUGGAAGCCAUCCCUCAGGGGAGAUCGGGGUGUUUGUGUGUUACACGCGCAGAGGUUGCCCAGAGGAAACAAAAUCACCUCGUUCAUGGCUUUCUAAGGGAGCAAGGGCUUUCAGGCACCACCCAGCUGCAGGCAGGUCUUCCCUCCUGCCCGGCCGUGACAGUGACUGAAAUCAGUGACUCGAAGUUCUCUGGAAGUCUGUGUGUGCAACGCAGGUCAUCAGAAAGGAGAAAGGAGUUAUAAACGGCCAAAAGAGCUUUUAACAGGCUGAGGAAUAAAGGGCUUAUUUUAUUCUCUCUUUGAUA